rnacentral:misc_RNA from 1 species
GUCCAAUUAUCUUAUGUUCUAUUACAACAAGGCUAUUAAGCAUGGGAUGCAGUUGGGAUGGUUGGAAGAUGGAGUGAAGAAGAUAAUGGGUCCAAUCCCAGUUGUCAAAUAUGACAAGUUAAGAAAUCACAAGAUUUAGUUCAAUAGCUUGGUGGUUGCGUACACAAGUUGGGAAGAUUGUAUAAAUAGUCCUAAGAAGGCAAUUACAUUUAGGGAUGGUAAACCAUUGCCAAAUGAAAUAAUUUAUUAACUGCUUGAAGAUGAAAGUGUUGCCAUUCUUUCAUAAUGUGUGUGUGUGUGUGUGUG